rnacentral:ncRNA from 1 species
GCGAAAGUUUUAUUUUGGCUUUUAGAUUGAGUUACGGUCCCGUUUAUAUAUAAGGGUUUUCUAAACACUUUAAUUAAAGAUUGGGUUUGUGGGUUUAGUAUAUAGUAUUAAAACUUAAGUUUUUCUUAUAUUUAGGGAAAUCGUUCAGUCCAGACUAAGUUUGUGCCAGCAGUAGCGGUUACACAAACUGUGCGAUUUAAUUUUUUUUAGGUUUAAUUAAAAGUUUAUUUAAAUAAGAAUAGAGAUUGGGUUUUUAGGUGAAAUUUAAAUCUUUUUUAUUUCUUUUUUUUUAAUUUUGAUAUUAAUAAAUUUGUUUUUAAACUAGGAUUAGAUACCCUAUUAUUUAGAAUGUAAUUUUUUGCCUAUGUUAUUUAUAGUUAAGUUCUUAAAAGCAAAAGAAUUUGGCGGUAUUUUAGUCUGUUCAGAGGAACCUGUUUUUUAAUUGAUGGUCCACGAUAAUUUUUACUUUUGUUUUAAAUUUAUAUAUCGUUGUUUAUAAAAAUUUUUUUAGGAUUAUAAUUUUUAAUAUUUUUUAUUAAAUUUUAUUUCAGAUCAAGGUGUAGUUUAUAUAAAAGUUAAAAUGGGUUACAAUAAGUUUAUUUUUGGUUUUAAAUUUUAAAAUUUUAGAUAAAUUGGAUUUGAUAGUAAAAUCUUAUUUUUUGGGUUUUGAUUUAGCUCUAAAAUAUGCACAUAUCGCCCGUCGCUUUCGCUUUAAAGUGAAAUAAGUCGUAACAAAGUAGGCUUAUUGGAAAAUGAGCCUAGAAUGA